UCACUCUCUUGGGAUAGGGCGUGGAAAGGAACCGGGAGUCAACUCCAGCCCCUCCCCCGGGCCUGGCGGUGUUACACAACCCGACGUCGCAUCUCCAGGGAUGUCGCCGGACGUCCUGACGGGUCCGGGGACAAUGGGCGGGGAGUGCCCCUCCCGCCAGGAGCCCGAAGUGGCAGGGGUGCCCCCUCCUCUGAUUCACCCUUGUUUCCGGACCGCUUUAUCCUCCAAAUCCUCAGGGAUCCUUAACGCCCCCCUAAGUCUCUACCCUCAGUGCGAGUACCCCUGUAACUCAGCUUUUUGACCCCACCAAAUAUCUGUCCUCUGCACUCCUCCUCCCCCGCCAGCUCCCGGCUCUCACUCCCGCCGCUGUGAUUCUCGAAACUUCCAGAUUCCCAUGCCCGCCUUCUUUCACCCAUCCCGGGGCUCCUCUUCCGGCUCCCUCAAACUCCUCCUCCACCUUCCUACCCCGCCCUCCGAAUCUCCUCCGAGCCACCCACCACCCCGUUCCCCGCCGAGCUUGCCCCAGGAUCUCAAUCCUCCCCAAACACCCCCUCCACCACACUCAAACUGACCCCUAAUCCUCUUUCUUGUCCCGAGUAUCAGUCCCCAGUCCCCUUUUGCUGUCCCGAAACUGCCCGGAUAUCCCAACCUCAUUGUCCACCCUAGUCUUUUCCCCCCCAACCCUUUCCCUUCCGGCAGUCGCCCCUCCCUCCCCGCCGCUCCCCGCCCCCAGGCCGGCCGGCGCCCCUCCCCGGCCCGCUCCCACGCCCCGCGCGGGUUCCCAGGCUGCCCCCCCGCGGUGGCCCAGAGACCCAGUUUGCGGCGGCAAAACAUUGGUCUCCGGGCAACAGGCCCCGCCCGCCCUGUGGCGGCCCAAGCUAGUCGGGCCGCUCAGUGGCCAGGUGGCCGGGAGGUGGCGGGGCCGGACUGGAGCCCGGGGCCCUCGCCCCCAGAGGCCUGCCGGGCUCAGAGACCCGGUGACCGGGAGCCAACAACACGGACCUGGAGAUUCGGCACCCCGGAGCAAGAAGCUUGGAGAAAUUCGUGGAGGUCAAAGCCACGGGAUGCGGAAACUGAGCCCCAGAGAGGUCACUCAGCUUGCCUCAGGACUCACAACUCAGUCAGGCUCCAAAGAUGGUACUGUUGUCAAAUUCGCAACACCUUGAGCAUCCAGACCAAUCCUCUGACUCUGCCACGUGAGCCCCAGGACUGCAGAAGCAAGAUAGUCCUCGGCCCCACCCGCUGGCCUUGAGAAGGGUGAGCCAGUAGGAGAAUACCGCCCAAGUGGUGCUCAAGUUGUCAGCGAGUCACCUAUGCUGGCCCAGGACACUGGCUUGGAGGCAGGCAGGACCCUCUACCUGCAGUGGGAAUCACUCUCGUCCCUGGCCACCUGUCUCCAUAGAAGCUCACCUAUCAGGUGGCAUCAGAAGAUGGAGCCCAGACAGGUGGGUCGGAGGCUCUGGGUCAGCGGUUCUGGCCAGCUGAUCAGAACCACCCAGGCUGGAUCUCACAGUUAUAACUGUCACCUCCUUCUCUGAGACUCUGACCCACAGCUUCUGGGUGCAGGACUGGAGAAAGCCACCUUUAAAAAGCUCCCUAGAUGACUGGAACCCCUGUUGGCCUGUGCUAGUUACUCUGCCUAAUUUUGCACCCAGGGAAGAGCAGAGGUUCAAAGAGCAGAAGCUCCAUCCCAACAUCACACAGCAGCCCACUGUGAGAGGCCCGGUGCUGCCUGAAAUUGGUGGACUCCCUUUGAGAACAAGUUUCAGAGUUAAAUAAUAAAAUAAAAUAAAAUAAAAUAAAAUAAAAUAAACAUAAAAAAGAAUCAGACGGAGAGAGAGAGAGACCCAGAAAUGAGCAGAGACUCAGAAUAUAGAGACUCAGGAAAAGAGGGAGUACCAGAGGGAGGCAGAGACCUAGAAAGGGACUUAGAGGGAACAGAGACAGUGACAGAGAUGCACAGAGAUAGUGAAAGACAGAGAGAUAGGGGUCAGAAAGACGCAGAGAGAGAGACAUACAUAAAGAGGCAAGGAUUAAGACAGCCAUUUAAGGGGGCUAGAGAUACCCUAAGAAGGGAACCUUUUCAUUGAGACAGUAUACACAUGGUCCCGUUUUAUAGGUCCUACUUCCUAGAAGCAGCCUGGGCCAUGGUUGGGCAAUUGCAAACUUACCAAGCCAGGUCUCCUCCCCAGCCCUGGUAUGUAGGAUGCACAUUAAAUACAUUUAU